AGUCGUACUUGAGCAGUCAAAUGACGUGUGUUGUAUUUUUAUUUGUAUCUCUUCUUAUAUUUUAUUUAUUAUUGCAUCGUCUAAUUUUUUUACGUAUAUCUCAGCUGUUUAUUUGUUUUUAUACUGUUUUCUUUAUAUUUACGUUUUCUUAAUAAUUUUUUUAAGAAUAAGACUGUUGUUACAAGAUCUAGACAUUGAAAAUAAUACUAGAAGAUUUAUAUCUUUGUUCAGCGUUAAAUACAAGGUCUUGCGGAAAAGCUUGGUGAUUGGUCCUCAUUUGUAUAGAAGUUAAAAGAAUCAAAACCACGUUUUAUCCCUAUCUUUUCAUGUUAAUCCUCGAUCCUUCCUUCACUGAAUUCUCAUUUUCUUUUUAUAUCCCAUUCUGGACUUCAAUGCACUGCUAUUAACGAUUAAUGACUCCAUUCAUUUAUUCGAACUCAUUAUUUCACUGCUUCUCGCGUAUCUACAAGAGCAGUGUUGACAUUGCUGACAUUUUGAAGUGACUUGAAACGACCAAACGAAGAAAUGAUACGUUAGAGGAUUGAAUUAUACAGAGAAAUCAGCUUUCACGGAUGGAACGAGAUUUCAGUUGGAACGAGUGAAGUUCAUUGCAGUGUCUGUCAAAGUUGAGAGAUUGCCCGUGUCAAAUGGUGAUAGUAAUGUCGUGCACGGUUUGGGAAUCGAUAGAAUCGAUUUACAGAACAAAUUGUCUUUUAUUCCUGUACACGAAAAAUGGAAUGCACGUGUUCUCAACAACGAUGCUUUUCUCCAUUACAAAGAAGUACACGACCCAGAAAAAUCUCUGUUAAAAAAAGCGUGGAAGAGAGUAUUGAUCGUGGUUGCAGAAGAGGCUAAUUAACAGUUUUCGUUUUUCAAAGAUGACACGUUGAAGAAACUUGUGGUUUUUCAUUCAUCAAUCAUCUUUCUUUAGAACAAUGUAUAUAUAUAUCUUUGUUAUUUUUCUGGUAUUGUUCUUGAAUAGUAAUGACUCCUUUUGUUUCACGAUACAGAAGAAAAAAUGUGAUUCUUCUCUCUUUUUUUUUAAUAAUCCGAAGUGAUUUAUCAACCGUUGGAAAAGAGCUUCUUUCUUGUUUAUUUCUUCGAGAGUUCUGGUAUUUUGCAAGAAGAAUGUUGUUUUAUCGCUGUAGGUAAAGUAGAUAUCUGAAAGCUGUUCCAGAUAUCCAAAGACGACUUUCCAACAUUCUAGCUUACCAGUAGCUUUCGAGCUCGUUGAAAGUCAACUUCCGGCCGCUUGGAGCAUUUAAUCUUGGAAAGUAAUAUCGCACCUCGUUUUCAUCAAAAGUGACUUUGCUUCUAAUUUAUCUUCAUCUUGGAAACGUUGGAAAGUUGGCAGAGUAAUAACAUGUUUAGAAAAUAAAAUGAAUUUUUUUUUAAAUUUUCUUUUUCUUUUCAAGAAAGACAGAAAUAAUAUACAAGGUGUUUUAAAAAUAUAGAUUAAAAAUAAAGAUUCUUAACUUUCAAACAAUAUUUUUUUUUACAAAAAAUUUCGUUUCAGCUUUAUUUAACGAAUUUGACAAAAAACAUUGGGCAAUUACAAAUAAAUCAUUUUAUAUAAUUUUAUCUUGUAUUUAUGAAAUUUUUUAUCUUUUUGUAUUUUUUUUUUUUAUUGACAAUAUUGGAAACUGAUAUUAAGUAUUACAAUUAAAUAAGAAGAAAUAGACCAAAGUAUCAAACGAGAAUGUUGGAAUUAUUAAUUUCAAUUCUUUAUCCAUUCGAAACAAGUUCCAUCUGUCAAUUUACUUUGUUAUUAAUGGCAGUCUGUCAUAACUUUUAUUUUACAAAUCGAUAUUGAAUUUAUAUUUUCUCUUUAAACAAUA